AAAAUUCGUAUGCUCCACCAUAAUUGAACACAACCACUUAUAAAUUGUUCUUGAAUGCAAAUCGCCAUUUCUGGAAAGCUUAGAAAUUGAAGAGCAGAGGAAGGACCACACGAAGGAGGGUGUUAGAGAUUAGUACCAAAACAGUAAGUAAGCAAGCUGACUAGAGAUAGAAAGGAGAGCUAAGGGGGAUAAUUGUAUUAUCAAACUGAUUGUUCAACAAUACAGUGCCCUCAUUCGAGAGGAAGGUGCUCUCCAAUAACAAACCUCUCAAUUAAUUCUUUCAUACAUUCCCCUUAACCAAAACCCCUAUUAAUACCCAAUAUUAAGCAAGCUAACAAACUCCAGCUCAGCUAACACAAGGAAUCUAGAUAACAAACUUAGUAACAAACUUAUUCCUAAAUUACUACUUUACCCUCUCCCCAAAACUGAUUUCUUACAAACUGUUUCCAUGAAUCAAGUAUUAUUUUUGGGCCUUCUUGCAUAUGUGAAGUGAAUACUAGGAUUGGGUUGAUCCCUUGCAAAGGACACACUAGAGCACAGUUCAGGUAACCCUAGAUCCUUGUGAAUUUCUUUAUUUUUUGUUGUUUAGUUGGGAUUUGUUUCUGGAUUUUGACCUAAAAGAUAUGAUUUUGUGUGUUUAUGUCGAGAAUGUGUUUGAUGUUUGUGUGAUUGGUCGGGAUUUGUUCAUGAUUAACUGGGUUUAGCGAUAAACCACUAAUUGAGUUGAAUUAUGUUUGGAUUUGUUUGUUUGUUAGAUAUUGAGUAAUUUUGUUUAGAUUGUUGUGUUUGUUGCUUUGUGAUGAAUUAUUAGGCUGAAAUGAGUGCGGUUUUCCAAAAAAAAUCAAUUUGAAAUUCUCGCAUGGAGGGAUUUUUAAGAUCCUUGAUAAUGGUGAAAUGGUAUAUGAGGGAGGUAGAGGUAGGACAAAGUCAGUGGACCCUAAUGAAUUAUCUUAUUUUGACCUUAUGGAGUUGGGGAAAGAAUGUUAUAAGGGUAAGGCAGUUGAGGGUCUUUUCUAUUUGAUUCCUAGACUUAGUAUUAGUAAUGGGUUGAGGAGAAUUAAUACUGAUAAUGAUGCAGUUGAGUUGGCAGCAUUAGGGAAGAAGUUUAGGGGUGUUGAGUUGUAUGUCUUGCAUGCUGAAGAGGAGCCAGAACUUGACCCACAAGAGCCAGAAAUUGAGCUAACACAUUUUCAACCCUUGUUAACACAAGCAUCUCAAAGUACUCCUCAAUCUUCUAAACCACAGUUGAUCAAACCAAAAAGGGGCCCAUAACCUAAAAUUCUUUUGACUAAAGUGAGGUCAAGUCCUAGGAAGAUACAAACCACUCAACCACAAUUAAUUUCAAAAGGUGAUUCCACACCUAAAAAAAGAGCAUCUUCCACCUCACUCCAAAUUAAAGAUGUUGCUAUUACUCCUGCACCCACUUCUUAUCUUUCUGGCCCGGAUCUAAAAACUGUGAAGCCUGCUACCUCACAAAAAUCCCCCCAGAAAACCACUUCUUCCCCUCCUAAACACAAACCCUCCUCACAGUAGGAACCUACUGAGGAUCCUGAUUUUGAUUGGUUUGAUGAUAGGCCUAACAGUCUAAUCCCUAUAAAUGACCUUAUUCCAUAUUACAGUGAUGACAUUGAUGAGCAAGACCUUGCUUAUGAUUCUAGGGUAGACAAAGGGAAAGGAGUAGUUGUUGGGAGUUCAAAAGUACGGAUAGGAGUAUUUGGUGAAGUAUACACUGAUGUUGACACUAAGGAUGAUGAGUAUGAAGUUGAUGUAGUUGAAGAGGUGGAUUUGGAGAAGCUAGAUCUAGAGUUAGAGGAUGAGUUUGAUGAAGCUUUGUUGCAAGAGGAUUUGGAACAAUUAUUUAGUGGAGCUUGCUGAACAAAAGCAGAGAGAAGCUACUCAGGGAAAGGUUGCAGAUGAAGAAGUUGCAGACACUGAAACUGAACAAGGGCCCCAACUCUGAGUGAAUUUAUGAACAGUGAAGAUGAAGUUGUAUCACCAACUGGUAGUGAAGAUGAGGGUGAUUAUGUUAGAAGGAAGAGGAGAGAAACUCUGUUGGUGAGUCCAGAUUAUGAUUUUUCUCAGUUCCAAUGGAAAGUUGGAUUAAGGUUUGCAAGGAGGGAAGACUACAAAGUAUGCUGUAGUACAGGGGAAAAAAUAUAACCUUCACUGUUGGCAACAAAUAUAGGCAGCAGAGGUUACGAGUGAAGUGCAUUGGUGAUUGUCCUUUUUACAUAUAUGCAUCUUGGCUAGGGCUGAGCAAAAAUAUCCGAAAAACCGAAAACCUGUACCGUAACCGUUCCGAAUAAUUGGGUACUCGAACCGUUUAAAGAAUUCGGGACGGAUAAUCGAACCGAUAAGAAAUUAACGGGUCGGGUAUCGGGUACCCGUUAAGACAGUUUCGGGUACCCGAAUUACCCGAAUAUUUAAAAAUGCUAAAUAAAAGUAUGAAACCCGUGUUUUGUUAAAAAAAAAAAGGAUAACCCUACUUCUCGUUCUUUUUUUCUCAUUUCUGAUUUCUCACUCAGCCUCCAUCCCACUUUCUCUCUCCUCUUCCUCUUCCUCCUCCCUUCUUCCUUACUCACCCACUCAUUUAUCAAAUUUCUGGGCGACAUUCUGGGCAGCGAAAUUCAGCAACAGCCUAGAAGAAAACUAGCAACAACGAACUCAAGGGAAGCUGAACUCGGCGACGGAGGAACCGAGGUGGUUGUAGCUCUCGGUUUGCUACGAAACAAGCUGGAAUUUCGUUGAGUUGAAAGCCGUACUUUGGGGGAAAGUUUCUGGGCUGGUUUUAGUUAAAGUAAAUCUGCAAGAAUAAUAGGUUGAACUGAAAUACAUCGCAAGGAGUAGUUUCAAGUAUUAUUGGAUUCAUUUACUUGUUACAUUUAUUUUCUUACUUUCUCUGUUAAACCCCAUUUAUUUUCAGUUUUCAUUAAUGUCAGAUUAAGGAGUAAUUUGUUUAAUUUUGUGAGAUAUGAUGAAUAAUUUUUUGUCCGUGUUUCUGAAUUUAAUACCAAUUAACCAACUCUGAUCUCAAUUUUUUUAAAUUAAAUUUCUUAAUUUUAUUGCGCUCAAUGAUUUUUCAGCCUUUGUUAAUAUUAUUGGUUCGGUUCGGGUACCCGUAUUUUCGGGUAUCCGAAUUUACGGGUACCCGUUCCUUAUCGGAUCGGUUUCGGUUAUUGGUUUUGUCCUUAUUGGUUAUCGGGUACCCGAACCGAUAACGUUAUCGGUACGGGUACCCGUCCCAUGCUCUCCCCUAAUCUUGGCAUUCUAGAAAGGCUUUUUUUUAUAGUUAAAAGGGUUUGUGGUCAUCAUACUUGCGAUAGAAUUAUGAAAAGGGACAGGCAAAUGAAAUCCAUUUGGGUUGCACAAUAAUUUCUUGAUGUGUUCAAAACCAGACCAUAUUGGCCUGCUAAAUAAAUAGUUUAUUGCAUUAGAAGAGCAUACAAGGUCAUAAUUACUAGAGAGUUUGCAUAUAGAGUGAAAUAUGCAGCUCACAAGCUGUUACAUCACUCAAUGCAUGAGCAUUACCAGAAAGUAGGAGGGUAUUUGGCCUCUCUGGAGAGAUGCAGCCCUGGUAGUCACUCUAAGUUAGUGAUUGUCAUACACAAACAACCCCCACCAGUAUUUUAAAGGUUGUUUAUUUGCUUUGAGGGUUGGCUAAAGGAUGGAUACAAGGAUGUAGAAAAGUGUUAGCUGUUGAUGCAUGUUUCCUCAAGACCUUUUUAGGUGGACAGCUCCUAUGUGCUGUUGGCAAGGACUCGAAUGAUCAUAUGUUCCCUAUGGCUUGGGCUGUAACUAAGAGGGAGAAUAACUUAAGUUGGGAAUGGUUUUUCAAGCACCUGCAAUCAUGUUUGGAGCUUGGUGAUGGUGAAGGAGUAGCAAUCAUUAGUGAUGAGCAUCGAGUAAAGUAAUGCAAUUGAAGUUGCUUUGUACCAUUUCUAUGGUUGUUGUUUUAUUGUUUUAUUGUUUGUAUGCAGGCUAUCUUGAAUGGUGUGUUUUCUGUUCUGCCUCUUGCAUAACAUAGACACUGUGCCAGGCAUGUCUAUGCAAACUGGUCCAAGACGUAGAGAGGAGAUGAAUUUAAACUCCAAUUUUGGAAGAUUGCAAAAUCAUACAACAUGGCAGACUAUGAUGAUGCACUUGCUGAGCUGACUGAGAUCAAUGUUGAAGUUGCACAAGCAUUCAAAGCUUACAACCCAUCUCUGUUUUGCAGAGCAUUCCUGAGCACAGCCAUCAAGACAGAUGCAAUAACCAAUAAUAUAGUUGAAACAUUUAAUGUCUAUAUUAUAAAUGCAAGGACAAAGCAUCUCUUGUACAUGCUUUAGGAUAUCAGAAUAAGAUUGAUGCAAAGAUUGGUUCAGAAGAGGCAGUUAAUGGAGAAGUGCACAUCUGUCCCGUGCCCAAGGAUUCAGAGUAAGCUCAAUCAAGAGAAAGACAAAGCUGCUUUGUGUGAGGUGAUCCCAUCAAUAAUUAAAUUGUUUAAUGUCACAUGUUGCUUAGAUUAACUUGUUGUGGAUUUGGAGGCAAUGAGUUGUACCUACAGGAAGUGGGAUAUGCUAGGCAUCCCCUGCUGCCAUGCAAUUACAUGCAUCUUCUUCCUCAACAGAGAAGCAGAAGAUUUGUUCACCAAUGUUACACCAAGGAAAAUUACAUGAAAUCAUAUGCAGGAGCUCAAUUCCUCCUUUAGUUGGUGAAAGGUAUUGGCCUAAGGUGAACUACCCCUUGCAGCCACCAGCCAUAAAAAUUGGACCAGGGAGGCCAAGAAAGAAGAGGGUGAAGGACCCCUAUGGGAACCCAAAGAAACCUGGUGUGUUGACCAAAACUGGUGUAGAGAUGACUUGCUCAUUGUGUAAUGUGAAAGGCCACAACAAAGAAGAUGUCCUAAAAAGGGCAAAAUUAUGACAUCUGAACCUCCUGCUAAAAGGUCUAGAGGGAGACCUAGAGCUGAUGGUCAGCCAUCUCACCAAAACCAAACUUCUGAGACUCACCAACCCCAACAUCAGACAGCUGCUCCACACCAUUCAGUGACUGCACAAUGUACUUAGCUUAGGAAAGGUGGGAGAGCUAUAAAAGGAGGAAGAGGGUCCAAAGGUGAUCAAUCUGAUGCAGGGAGAGGCCAAUCUCACCAUGCUAUUGCUGCAGGUGGUGAAUCUGAUGGUGGUAAAGGCCAAGGAAGGGGUGACAGAGGUAGGGGGAGCAGAGGUAGGGGUAGGGAAAGACAACAUGUUCUAAGGGCAGUUGGAGUGCUCUUUGUAGAGGAUGGUUCUGCAAUAACCAAUGUCACUAGGGGAGCUCCAACCCAUAAGAGCAGAAGUAGAGGUGAUAGGACUAUGUCAGUGAAUCAAGGAGCUUUGAAUUACCUGAUUAUGCGAAGCCAAUAAAGUCAGCAGUCAACUUUGAACCAGUAGACUCAGUAGAACUUAGGCUGUAUAUGUGAAGCUUUUUUUUUUUUUUUUUUUGUGCAGAAACUAUUCUAGAAUAUCAUCAAUAGCAAUUAGGGUGUUUUUAUGCCGCUUCUGUUGGUUUUUGGAAUUGUAUUAAACAAACAAGUCAGAUGUUAUGUGGGUGUGUGUUUUUUCAAACCAUCAUAUGUAAUUAUGGCGUGGUUAACUUGUUGAUGCCAAGGAAAUGGCAUGGUUUAUCAUGUAGUGUGCUUUGCUACUUUUAUGAUUUUUUAAGUCAAUUAUUACAAACUUUUGAACCUAAACCUUAAAAGGAUUUCAUUUCAUACUGUUAAUUGGGUACAUGAUCUUCAUUACAAAAAAUAACAUCAUACUCCUACUUCAAAUACACAAUCACCAAUGCCAACUAAAAUACAAAGAAAAAUCAGAGUCCUCGAGAAAUUUGUCUCAGCACUUGUACAGUGCAUAAGCUCACUCAGUUGGCUAACUUCCCUUGUCAAUUCUUUCACUUCUUCCUCCAAUUUCUCUUUCCUUCCUUGCAAUUUCUUCACCUUUUCUUCCAACAAUGUCUUCUAAAACUCCAUCUC